CAGCACUUCCUCUCUACCUCAGUUGUCACAUGGUAUUCUUCCUGUCCUGUUGGUGAGUGUGCUUAUUCAGAUGGAGCCUAGACAGUUUGUGAACACUGAUUCUGCUCUUAUGGAGCUUCUUGGUACUGGCACUGAAUGGUGUGCCUUAAAGUGAAGCCUGAAUGUCUCAGAUUGAUUUCAAACAAAUGCAGCAACAAAUCAAGGUGUUCUUCCUUGGGAAGUGAUGGGUGUUUUGCCUACUGUCAAUCUCU
rnacentral:lncRNA from 1 species